AUGUUAGCCAGCAAGGUGAUAGGACAGUUAGAACAGAGCUUUACUUCAAUCGGCGUGGUCCAGAUUCGAAAUAUACGGGCGUCGAUUAAAUGUUGGAAACCGUAUGCCUUCCGUCUGGACACGCUCGAUGGGAACGCUAUCUGAUCCAGCUGGCACCAAGGUGGUGCUGGGGUGACGUACUCACACGUGGGGUGAUCUACGAAUUGGAAUGGGUAUUAGCAAAAAUUCUACCCGCAUCGAACAUUCCUUAGUGGAAAGAGGGCCAGUGGGGACUGAUACGUGGGCGAGAUUCCUUUCCCCCCUCCUAUUUUUUAGCAAAAAAAAAAAAGGAAUGUUUAGAACAUAAGAACUCUAGAUCUAAACUGUAAUCUUGUAUGUUAGCUUCCAAACUCUGCUAAUGCUUGAGAUUUUUUUUGGUAAUCCAAGCCUCUGUAGGGCCUCCUCAGCCUACCCUGGGCAUUAUUUCAUGGCAUGCACAUUGCCAAUUGCAUCUUCCACAUCUCAAGCAGAUCAUUGUUCGAGGAUUAACAUUGAGGUCGUCUCGAAGAAUAGU
rnacentral:lncRNA from 1 species